AGUGAACGCUGGCGGUAGGCCUAACACAUGCAAGUCGAACGGCAGCACAGUAAGAGCUUGCUCUUACGGGUGGCGAGUGGCGGACGGGUGAGGAAUACAUCGGAAUCUACUUUUUCGUGGGGGAUAACGUAGGGAAACUUACGCUAAUACCGCAUACGACCUACGGGUGAAAGCAGGGGAUCUUCGGACCUUGCGCGAUUGAAUGAGCCGAUGUCGGAUUAGCUAGUUGGCGGGGUAAAGGCCCACCAAGGCGACGAUCCGUAGCUGGUCUGAGAGGAUGAUCAGCCACACUGGAACUGAGGCACGGUCCAGACUCCUACGGGGGGCAGCAGUGGGGAAUAUUGGACAAUGGGCGAAAGCCUGAUCCAGCCAUACCGGGGGGGGGAAGAAGGCCUUCGGGUUGUAAAGCCCUUUUUUGGGGAAAAAAAAGCAGCAGGUUAAUACCCCGCUGUUCUGGCGGUACCCAAAGAAUAAGCACCGGCUAACUUCGU
rnacentral:rRNA from 1 species